CCUACGGGAGACAGCAGUGAGGAAUAUUGGUCAAUGGACGCAAGUCUGAACCAGCCAUGCCGCGUGCAGGAAGACGGCUCUAUGAGUUGUAAACUGCUUUUGUAGGAGGGAAAACGCAGAUAAGCGUAUCUGUCUGAAAGUAUCGUACGAAUAAGGAUAGGCGAACUCCGUGCCAGCAGCCGCGGUAAUACGGAGGAUUCAAGCGUUAUCCGGAUUGAUUGGGGUUAAAGGGUGCGUAGGCGGACGGAUAAGUUAGAGGUGACAUCCCGAGGCUCAACUUCGGAAUUGCCUCUGAUACUGUUCUGCUAGAGCGUAGUUGCGGUAGGCGGAAUGUCUGGUGUAGCGGUGAACUGCUU
rnacentral:rRNA from 1 species